rnacentral:rRNA from 1 species
UACGGGGGGGGCAAGCGUUGUUCGGAAUUACUGGGCGUAAAGGCUCGUAGGUGGCCAACUAAGUCGGACGUGAAAUCCCUCGGCUUAACCGGGGAACUGCGUCUGAUACUGGAUGGCUUGAGUUCGGGAGAGGGAUGCGGAAUUCCAGGUGUAGCGGUGAAAUGCGUAGAUAUCUGGAGGAACACCGGUGGCGAAGGCGGCAUCCUGGACCGACACUGACGCUGAGGAGCGAAAGCCAGGGGAGCAAACGGG